GGGAGAUCCCCCGCUGUUGUGCGGCCGACUCUCGGUGCCAGUGUCCCUUCAUUCUUUGGCUAUUGUGUGCCCGUUUUGACGAGUGCUUGCGUGCUGCUACCAGUACCACUGGAAGUCGCAUUGAUGAAUGAUGAUUUUGCCGUGCAUGCCCUUUGGCAUGUCACGUCAACUAUAAAGCGUUCAUGGCGUUGCCUCGUGUAGCUGGCUGCAUAGCCUACCUGCAUCAAGGCCACCUCAUGGUCGCUAUUGGUCUCGGAUGUGGCUAACUUUGAAGGCUGAAGUUGCUUUUGCACCUCAUGCCUACAAUAGUCCAGUUGGAAACAACGACAGUUGGCCUACCUGACGCCUUGUGCGGAAGCUAGUGCU
rnacentral:misc_RNA from 1 species